CGUAGGGAGCAAGCGUUGUUCGGAUUUACUGGGCGUAAAGGGCGCGUAGGCGGCGCGGUAAGUCACUUGUGAAAUCUCUGAGCUUAACUCAGAACGGCCAAGUGAUACUGCAGUGCUAGAGUGCAGAAAGGGCAAUCAGAAUUCUUGGUGUAGCGGUGAAAUGCGUAGAUAUCAAGAGGAAUACCUGAGGCGAAGGCGGGUUGCUAGGCUGACACUGACGCUGAGGCGCGAAAGCUAGGGAGCAAACGGGAUU
rnacentral:rRNA from 1 species